rnacentral:rRNA from 1 species
ACGGGUGAGUAACGCGUGGUCAACCGACCGUUGAGUGGGGAUAACUAGCCGAAAGGCUAGCUAAUACCGCAUACGUCUCCGAGGGGCAUCCCUUGGCGAUAAAAGGAGCAAUCCGCUCGAUGACGGGACCGCGUCCCAUUAGCUAGAUGGUGGGGUAACGGCCUACCAUGGCACCGAUGGGUAGCUGGUUUGAGAGAGCGACCAGCCACACUGGGACUGAGACACGGCCCAG